rnacentral:rRNA from 1 species
UACGGGAGGCAGCAGUGGGGAAUAUUGCACAAUGGGCGCAAGCCUGAUGCAGCCAUGCCGCGUGUGUGAAGAAGGCCUUCGGGUUGUAAAGCACUUUCAGCGGGGAGGAAGGCGGUGAGGUUAAUAACCUCAUCGAUUGACGUUACCCGCAGAAGAAGCACCGGCUAACUCCGUGCCAGCAGCCGCGGUAAUACGGAGGGUGCAAGCGUUAAUCGGAAUUACUGGGCGUAAAGCGCACGCAGGCGGUCUGUCAAGUCGGAUGUGAAAUCCCCGGGCUCAACCUGGGAACUGCAUUCGAAACUGGCAGGCUAGAGUCUUGUAGAGGGGGGUAGAAUUCCAGGUGUAGCGGUGAAAUGCGUAGAGAUCUGGAGGAAUACCGGUGGCGAAAGCGGCCCCCUGGACAAAGACUGACGCUCAAGUGCGAAAGCGUGGGGAGCAAACAGGUAUUAGAUACCCUGGUAGUCCACGCUGUAAACGAUGUCGAUUUGGAGGUUGUGCCCUUGAGGCGGGCUUUCCGGAGCUAACGCGUUAAAUCGACCGCCUGGGGAGUACGGCCGCAAAGUUAAAACUCAAAUGAAUUGACGGGGGGCCCGCCACCAGCGGGGGACAUGUGGUUUAAUUUCGAUG